AGAAUUAAUCUACAUUCUCAUUAAAUUACAUAUUUCCAAAAACACAAACUCUAUCUUUAAGAUUAUAGAGUUAUAUAGUGUAUAAACUAGGCCGAGAUUGCGCAACUAUACACAUAAGUGACUCGUAGCAACUGUAUGUGCUUGAAGGAGAACGCAUUCUCGCGUAGAUGCUUCUUUUUACGGAAUCCUCCUCGGACGCGUAACACGGGCCAUAAUGCCAUAUUAUGGAACUUUGCCAUUGUAUUGUUUCCAUGGAUCUAUUUGCGAUACACGAGUGUUUCUUUCAGCACAUUCACCUAUGACCCCACUCAUCGAGUUUGGUAAACCUAAACGACCACCUGUACAUACAAGAUUUCCAUUUUGCUUAUCUCCUAACCUAAACCCACCAAAAAAGGCACCUCGAGUACAUGCGAGGCGUGUAAGGUGUUCGUGCGCCAUGGAAUGUAGGAAAGAAUGGCCAUGGAAGGAAUGGCAGACCCACUGGCCAUAAUAUUGAGCUAUGCACACGCAACUGCUUGCCAUUCCAUAUACUCUUAGCGCCUUCGUCGAUGUUUUAAUGACGACACUGUCAUGGAAACGUAUUCUGCAGGCAGAAUCAUGGAGCCCUUCUGCCCUUUCUUCGUGGUAGACCGCGGAGGCAUUCCUUACAGCCACCCGUAACAUGUUAUCACGUCAACUUAUGUAAUAUUAAAAAGUUGACUAUGUUUGAUACUAAAAGAUUCUUAACUUCGAA
rnacentral:lncRNA from 1 species